UUCUGGGCCGAGUUCAAGGGUUAUGGAAAAUAUCGUGUAUCCUUGUUGACCCGCGCAGACGCGGAACACACGUACGCGCGAUUCCUGGCAUUGAUAAAUAGCGUUGCAAAGUGCAGCACGGUGCAGACGGUGUGCCGUAAUUGACCGACGGUGGCACGGGUCACGGAAGUAGAAACUGGACGAUGGAAAUUGGAAGUACGUGGCAUGGCACAGUGCCUGCACCCACAUGAUUAGAGGAACGAGUGCUCGAGAACGACGCCCGCGGCCGGUGUGAUUUAAUUUCAUCUUGUUCCGCAGAGAUUAAUAGUUGAAGUGUGUUGUUCGAUGAGAGUAUAGGGAUGCACUAUGCGGGUAGCUUCGAGACCGAAAUGAAUCGUGAAAGACAUCGAUAGAAAUAAUUAUUGUGGAAGUGAGCCUAGUUUGGUGGACUUUUAAUAAUACGCGUCGAAGAAUUGGGCUUCUAUACGUGAAAUUGGCCUGGCGGGCAGCAGAAUCGGCGGGCAUAAUCGAGGCGAAAGGAAAUAGUCGAUCGACGCAUUCCAAGCCUAUUCAAACAUCAUCAGCGAAAUCCGAAGAAACAGCAUGCAGGCGAAGGCAGAAGAAAAAGGAGAGAACGGGGCGAGUAACGUAACGUGCACGGUCUAAGCGGCACUGAUGUCUUUCAUUUAAAUACAUCUUCGAUUAAUCAGCCGGCUAACAAAAGGAGGAACCCGAAGAAAUCACGGAUCGAUGAUUUUACCGCUUUGACGACACACAUACGUCUUCUGUCGGCUCGAACGAGCAGAUGUCCGGCAUCGGUGCUUGUCUUCGACAAUUCAAUAAAGCAUUUCUUCCGAGUAGUGCCAUGUUCCGGCGAGCUCUCAGCCUCGUUCGCGUCUCGUCUAGGCGGAGCGCGGCUAUGUUCUAGUGAGAACAUCAUCGAUCAUCAUUAGCUGCUACUCCACGAGCGCUGUAUCCACCUCUAGUACCAACAUGCUAGCCGGAAAUUAUUUAAGCGGCUGUCGUAUCAAAAAUCGAGCCGCGUUCCUUCGAUCAUCCUAUCUUUCUUCUCUUUUCCCCUUUUCUACCAUUAUCCGGCCACCAGGUUUGCUCGUUUCAACGGAUAAUUAAUAACACAUUCGAUCGGAAAACGAUUUUAUGACGGAUCGUUCAACGAACGAUUCUUUCUUGAACCAUUUUGAUGAGUGAUGAUGCGUGACUCGGCGUUUAAUUGCCGAGCAAAUCGAGAAACUUGUUCGGUGAAGUUGUUUGCGUUAGUCGUUGAAGGAUCGUUGAUAGCUCUUAAAACAUUUUCUUAGAAUUACACACGUAACUUAACUAAUCGUAUUUGGUUAUCAAAUGUUGCGAAGUUUGUAUUACAGAAGUUGCAACCUGCCGAGGAAAAUUAAUUUCACCGGAUGAUCGCACUUCCCUGAAUAUUUCGCGAAUCUUUCUCGAUCUCAAAAAUAUAUUUUACUAAAAAUCUAGUCCAAUCGUCGUACGUUAUGAAACCUAUGUUUUCAUAAACCAAAACUAAAACUUAUACAAUAAAUAUAGGAAAUUAAUAUUUUGAUCGUAUUACCACGAACAUCUAUAUAAGCAAUUAAUCUUCCACAAGAUUUUUAGCUCGUACGAGUUUACGCGCAUUAACUUAUCUUGACAACAUUAGCCAUCUUUCAUCCUGAUAUGUAACGCAAUUAAAUAAAUCUAUGUCGAAACGAAAUAGCCCGAGUCCACCUAUAAAUCAACCUAACAAUUCAGCCCGUCAAUUACUAUCAAUAAACCAAAAACGAUUCCAUUAGAACGCUAUACGAAACACUUGUAAAUACCUUUCUCUUCGGCGAUCGCGAUAUUUAAACGAGAAGGCAGAUCGUCGUUCAUCGAAUCAGCGUUUAGUUUCGAGGAGACUGUUGGAUCGUCGUUUCCGACCGUUUCAGGCUACGAUUGAGCUCCUCGUUAGGGAGAAAUUUAUGAUAAUACAAAGCAACGUCUGUUUAUGACGGAAGAAGGCGGAACGACAUUAAAGGGCGAAAGGGAUACUAAUGCAAACGAUUGGACAGAACCGGGUAUGAAGCUUAGAUAAUGCACCGUGCUCGGUUUAAAUAGAGAAAAAUCUUGUUUCUUUACUCGCUGGAAUAAUUCGAUUCUCCCUGCUCAUGAUUCUAGUCGUUCUUGUUCGCUGGAUUAUGCUGGUUCCUUGCCACAAAUACGCUAUUCAGUAGUUACGUGGCGCGUUUACAUUUCUCUGAUUUACUUUGCGUAACUGGACUGAAUAAGAUAUUUCCAAGUUACUGGCGGAAGUAUCUGUAUUUUAGUUGAAUUUCGGCUUUCAAGUCCUGUAUUUUAAAUAAAUGCAUAACAUGCGAUGGAGAUAAUAUAUUAUAUUACGUUGCUACGUAGCGUGCACGUGUCAAAAAUAAGGAAAACUGUUUAUACGUUAUAAAUAUUCCAAGAAAGGCUGAAACGAUAUCAACAUUUAUGUUACGGAAAUAUUUUAAUACUUAAAAGAUUUUAAACCACGCCGAGUAAAAUUUCCAUUUCAUGAGUGGUGAAAGGUAAAAUUACAACAAAAUAAUUCCUCAUUUUGAAAACAAAACGAGAAGAAACUACAGUUUUCAGAGUUUGCAACCCGCUCUAUUCGUCCACUAAAAAUUCAUUAACGUAAACUCUGCACAUCUAACUCGCGAUACAACACCUCGUCUACCACAACAGAUAAUCUAACGUUAUCAAAAACGCAAGACAAAUCUGUGUCCAAUGAAAUUAACACACGUUCGUGUAUCUUUUGGUUAUCUGUAAGCAGGCGUGCGCCCAAGCUGGGAAAACACACGUCCGCGUAUAAAAUACGCGUGUACGUACAGUGAUACGUAUCCUGAUAGCCAACAGUCAGCCAGCACGAUAAAGCAUAAGUUAGGAAAAGAGGCGCACGUGUUUAUGCGUGAUGGUGUGCAGUCGAGGCCCACGCAGCCUGGCAACUAAGCGAAGCGGAGGACGCAAGAACGCCGUCACGAUCUAUCGAUCAGCCGCGACGAUCCGGGGAAGGUACGCGCGUAAAUCUUCCACUCGAUCGGUACCUGGGAACGAGACUGUCGUCGCUAGCAGAUAUCGCCCCUCUCUUCCUUUUUCCGCUUGUCCGAUCUCUUAUUCUACUUGUUAUCGAAACGACAGAUUUUCACCUAGCGCACGAUCCUCGAGGAAAUGCAUCAUAGUUCUACGUAAUUGGAUGCGAGACUGAUAACGUAUGGAGAAAAAAUUGUUUCAUUAGGAAAUUUUUCGUCUGAUAAGAUAAUGAAAGUUGACAGUGUGAAUAACAUGGAAUAUAUAAUUAUUUGAUGGAAUUUUUGAUUCUGCGAAACGAGAUAUAUAGCUCUGAUAUAAAAUGUGGGAAAAUUGGUUAAUUACGAGAAUUUUUAUAUACCACGAUAGAGAAAGUCGAUAGCGCUUAUUUAAGGAAACUUUUUGCUUUUCUUAUUUGAGGAAAUUUUUAAUUUUACGGAACUAAAUGAAUCGCUGCUAAUUUAUCGAGAAAAAUCGAGCAAAUUGCAAUGUGAUAAGAUUAUAGAAGUUAAUAACGAAACAUUAUAGAAUGUUGCGUGCAGUAUACAAGUCUUACAUAUUAGUUAAAAUUUUGCAUUUCUCAGAACUGAACGGGAGAUUGACAAUUUAUCGAAAAACAUUAGAUAAGAGAAUGUCGGUGUGACGAGUUAAUA